rnacentral:rRNA from 1 species
UACGGGGGGGGCAAGCGUUGUCCGGAAUUAUUGGGCGUAAAGGGCGCGUAGGCGGCUGUACAAGUCAAAGGUGAAAUCCCUCGGCUCAACUGAGGAACUGCCUUUGAAACUGUACGGCUUGAGGCCGGGAGGGGGUAGCGGAAUUCCCAGUGUAGCGGUGAAAUGCGUAGAUAUUGGGAGGAACACCAGUGGCGAAGGCGGCUACCUGGACCGGUUCUGACGCUGAUGCGCGAAAGCGUGGGUAGCAAACAGG